rnacentral:rRNA from 1 species
UACGUAGGGUGCGAGCGUUGUCCGGAAUUAUUGGGCGUAAAGAGCUUGUAGGCGGUUUGUCGCGUCUGCCGUGAAAAUCCGGGGCUCAACCCCGGACUUGCGGUGGGUACGGGCGGACUAGAGUGUGGUAGGGGAGACUGGAAUUCCUGGUGUAGCGGUGAAAUGCGCAGAUAUCAGGAGGAACACCGAUGGCGAAGGCAGGUCUCUGGGCAUUAACUGACGCUGAGGAGCGAAAGCAUGGGGAGCGAACAGG